rnacentral:hammerhead_ribozyme from 1 species
AUGCAGAUGAAGAGUCCCAAAAAGGACGGAAUGUACAUCCUGGAU